rnacentral:rRNA from 1 species
AGUGAACGCUGGCGGUAGGCCUAACACAUGCAAGUCGAACGGCAGCACAGUAAGAGCUUGCUCUUACGGGUGGCGAGUGGCGGACGGGUGAGGAAUACAUCGGAGUCUACUUUUUCGUGGGGGAUAACGUAGGGAAACUUACGCUAAUACCGCAUACGACCUACGGGUGAAAGCAGGGGAUCUUCGGACCUUGCGCGAUUGAAUGAGCCGAUGUCGGAUUAGCUAGUUGGCGGGGUAAAGGCCCACCAAGGCGACGAUCCGUAGCUGGUCUGAGAGGAUGAUCAGCCACACUGGAACUGAGACACGGUCCAGACUCCUACGGGAGGCAGCAGUGGGGAAUAUUGGACAAUGGGCGCAAGCCUGAUCCAGCCAUACCGCGUGAGUGAAGAAGGCCUUCGGGUUGUAAAGCCCUUUUGUUGGGAAAGAAGAGCAGCAGGUUAAUACCCCGCUGUUCUGACGGUACCCAAAGAAUAAGCACCGGCUAACUUCGUG